GCUGGGCUGGCGGCAACUGGAAAGUGAACUGGUACCAGUUCAAGCUGGGCUGGUGGCAAGUGGGCACUGUGUGCAACCAGUUUAACCUGGGAUGGCGGCAACUGGAAAGUGAACUGGUACCAGUUCAAGCUGGACUGGUAGCAACUGGAAGUGAGGUGCCAGUUUGAACUGGACCAGUUUACAUAUUUGGGGGAAGUUUCGGUUUCAGUCCCAGGACAGGUUAAUAUGAAGAUUGCAAGAUGAAGUUAUAAAAACGAUCAGAAAGUAACUUGAUUAGUUGAAAUAAUCAUAUUUCAAGUUUUGGUAAAGUUCUUUAGUGUUAACGAAAGUUAUUUUGGAACUCUUAUAGUUGUAUUUUAUGCGUUCCUGCUCCCGCGAUGAAUCAUGCGUUUACUGUGCAACGGUCGCUUGCUUAGCAGCAUGCUUGUACAGCGAUUAUUGCCCGGUAUGUUCUUAGCGUGAUGUGUGACAUAUAGGCGUUGGUUUUAUAAUCUAAAGGAUUUUUCUGCAAGUUACGACAGUGCGACAGUACAAUGAGCGCCAGCGGCCGGGCGGGUGGGUGUUAUAGGAUUACAGCUCGACUACAGCUGUGGAGACCGCUUUAUAUCAAACCUUAGCUGCUGGCUGCUGGGGCUCAAAGGAAAAUAUCGAUGCAUCGUGUGCUAUUAAGAACAUCUCAAAUACUUUGUUGAAUGGUUCAAGAUGUCCACAAGGCAGUCAAGCAAGGGACCAAUCAACCAUGAAGUAUUAUCUAUUCCAUGUAACUCUGUAGUUCAUCUACUGCUAUAAUUUAAUUAUGUUAUAGUUACGCUACAUGUACAUUAGAAUAUGUGUAAUGUUUGACUACAAAUAAAAUGCAAUUUUGCAUUGCA